GUUGUAAGUUGAGAAAGAAUGUUACAGAAGACAAGUCUGGUAAGUGUAGUUACAUGUAAAGUCAAAUGAAAACUUGUGUAACAAACUCUUAACCCUUAAACUCCCAAGAUCUGGUUGUUGACCCUCCCUUCUAGCUGUCACACAUUCCACUGAAACUUAAAUUAGAGAAUUUGGUGAGAGAUCAAGAUACUCUUGUUACCUGUUUCUACUGGAUAAUGUAAGGAUAUUUAAGGAGAACCAUUCCCACUCCUGACCCUUCCAACAUCAUGCAGUCCUUAAAGGAGACGUAUACUCCAGAGAUCAUUUAAUUUUAUUUCUCCCAUCAAAAAGUAUUUAAUAUUUAAAUGGGACAUAGUGAAUUUUCACCUUUGAAAGAACUUCAUAGAGUGGCAAAAAUUCACCUACCAUGCAGUCAUUUUGAAUCUUGUUCAUGUAGGUACUUCUUUCCAGUGACAUAAGAGUCUUGUAUCACUUGUUUCUAUUGCAUAACUGACUGUUUCAACAACAACAAGAUAGACAAAAGGCUCUGUUAUCCGGAAUAAAGAGCUUCCUCAGUAACCAGAGGAGUAGCUGCUUGUGAACUAUGGGAUUUAGUUCAGAUCAUUUGGGUGGAACUUGUAUUUUCAUACUUAUGUUUCAGGGUUACUGAGUCAGAGGGUGGCACAAACUAGAGAAAAUGAGGAAAAGGUUGCUGAUUAUCUAUAUUAAGUGGAUAAACCACUGGCUCGUUGCUGCACAAAUUUCACUUACAAUUUUUCAUCAUGGUAAUAACAAUUAUGUGGUUUUAUGGAACACACUUCCCCCUUAAGGUACCAGUAGCUUCACAUGUAAGUUACCUUUAGUUCUCUAUGGUUUCAGUGACAUAUUGAUUGUUAUGGUUUGCUUUUGUUAUAACACAUGCAUUUUGGGUUUGGUUU